rnacentral:rRNA from 1 species
AACGAACGCUGGCGGCAUGCCUAACACAUGCGAGUCGAGCGAAACCUUCGGGUCUAGUGGCGCACGGAUCCGUAACCCGUGGGAACCUGCCCUUGAGUUUGCAUUAACGCGCCGAAUGACGUCCGAAUACGGGAGCUUAUCUUGGGUCCGACGAUUUAUCGCAUUUGGGGGGGCCUGAGUUGGAUUAGCUUGUGGUUAGGGUAAAAGCCUACCAAUAGUACGUUACAUAGCUGGUCUGCGAGGAUGGUCAGCGACACUGGGAGUGAGACACGGCCGAGAAUCUUACGGGAGGCAGCAGUGGGGAAUAUUGGACAAUGGGGGAAGGCCUGAUCGAGCAAUGAUGGGUGAGUGCUGAAGGUCUUAGGGUUGUAAAGCUCUUUUAUACGGGAUGAUAAUGACAGUACCGGGAGAAUAAGCACCGGCUAACUCCGUG